CGGAGGGUUGACCAGGAGUGAUGGCGUGCCUUUUGCAUAAUGAUCCGGCGACUUACCGUCAUGGGCAAGGUUAAGCGACUUUGUCGCGCAGCCGAAGCGAAAGCGAGUCUGAUAAGGGCGAACAAGUCCAGGGCGGUAGACGCGAAACCACGUGAACUACGCAUGGUCAGGUUGAAGUUGGGGUAAAACCCAAUGGAGGACCGAACUCACAUGGGUCGAAAACCGUGGGGAUGAACUGUGUGGAGGAUUGAAAGUAUCAUCAAGCGUGGAGAUAGCUCGUUCUCUCCGAAAUAACUUUAGGGUUACCUCGCCAAGUGAUGCAUAGGGGUAGAGCGACAAUUCGAUAGGGGGCCUACCCGGCUACCCUUCGAAACCAAACUCCGAAUACUAUGUAUCAGCAACGGCAGAUAGACUGUGGGGGAUAAGCUUCAUAGUCGAGAGGGGAACAACCCAGAUCGCCUGCUAAGGUCCCCAAGACAUGCUCAGUGCGAAAGGAAGUUGGAGUCCUGAGACAGCCAGGAUGUUGGCUUAGAAGCAGCCAUCAUUUAAAAAGUGCGUAAUAGCUUACUGGUCGAGGAUUCCUGCGCCGAUAAUGAACGGGACUUAAGCAUGUCACCGAAGCAGCGGAUUUGUUAGAAAUAACAAGUGGUAGGAGAGCGUUGCAUACGCCUGCGAAGGGGAACGGAUAACGAUCCCUGGAGGUACUGCAAGUGAUCAUGCCGGAAUGAGUAACGAUAAACAGGGUGAGAAUCCCUGUCGCCGAAAGCCUAAGGUUUCCUGGGGAAGGUAAAUCCGCCCAGGGUUAGUCGGAUCCUAAGACGAGGCCGAAAGGCGUAGUCGAUGGACAGCAGGUUAAUAUUCCUGCACCAUGGUUGGCGGUCGAUGGUAUCAGGACGCUUUUUGGAAAGUGAUCGGCCCAAUAGAAGUGGCCGUCCCGCAAGGGCGAGGGCAUAUACGAUCCCGAAGUCAUUGGGAAAAGAGUCAAGAAAAGCCGAUACCGGACAAGAACCAUGCCCGUACUAAAACUGACACAGGUAGGCGAGAUGAGUAUUCUAAGGCGCUCGAGAGAACGCUCGUGAAGGAACUCUGCAACAUGGCUCCGUAACUUCGGGAUAAGGAGCGCCCUUGAGGGUGUUAAAGCCUUUGGGGGCCGCAGUGAAAAGGGUCUAGCGACUGUUUACUAAAAACACAGGUCUGUGCCAAGGCGUAAGCCGACGUAUACAGACUGACGCCUGCCCGGUGCCGGUAAGUUAAGGAAGAGGGUUAGCCGUAAGGUGAAGCUCGCAACCGAAGCUCCGGUAAACGGCGGCCGUAACUAUGACGGUCCUAAGGUAGCGAAGUUCCUUGUCGGGUAAGUUCCGACCUGCAUGAAUGGCGUAACGACUGGACCACUGUCUCCACGAGCGACUCGGUGAAAUUGUAGUUGUCGUGAAGAUGCGACAUACCCGCGAUUAGACGGAAAGACCCCGUGAACCUUUACUGUAGCUUAGUAUUGGGUUUAGACCCAACAUGCGUAGUGUAGCUGGGAGACUAUGACCAGGGACUUCUGGGCCCCU
rnacentral:rRNA from 1 species